rnacentral:rRNA from 1 species
UCUGGUUGAUUCUGCCAGUAGUCAUAUGCUUGUCUCAAAGAUUAAGCCAUGCAUGUCUAAGUAUAAGCAAUUAUACAGCGAAACUGCGAAUGGCUCAUUAUAUAAGUUAUCGUUUAUUUGAUAGUACCUUACUACUUGGAUAACCGUGGUAAUUCUAGAGCUAAUACAUGCUAAAAAUCCCGACUUCGGAAGGGAUGUAUUUAUUAGAUUAAAAACCAAUGCCCUCUGGGCUCCUUGGUGAUUCAUAAUAACUUUUCGAAUCGCACGGCCUUGCGCCGGCGAUGGUUCAUUCAAAUUUCUUCCCUAUCAACUUUCGAUGUUUGGGUCUUGGCCAAACAUGGUCGCAACGGGUAACGGAGGGUUAGGGCUCGACCCCGGAGAAGGAGCCUGAGAAACGGCUACUACAUCCAAGGAAGGCAGCAGGCGCGCAAAUUACCCAAUCCCGAUUCGGGGAGGUAGUGACAAUAAAUACUGAUACAGGGCUCUUUUGGGUCUUGUAAUUGGAAUGAGUACAAUUUAAAUCUCUUAACGAGGAACAAUUGGAGGGCAAGUCUGGUGCCAGCAGCCGCGGUAAUUCCAGCUCCAAUAGCGUAUAUUAAAGUUGUUGUGGUUAAAAAGCUCGUAGUUGAACCUUGGGCCUGGCUGGCCGGUCCGCCUCACCGCGUGCACUGGUCCGGCCGGGCCUUUCCCUCUGUGGAACCCCAUGCUCUUCACUGAGUGUGGCGGUGAAACAGGACUUUUACUUUGAAAAAAUUAGAGUGCUCCAGGCAGGCCUAUGCUCGAAUACAUUAGCAUGGAAUAAUAAAAUAGGACGCGUGGUUCUAUUUUGUUGGUUUCUAGGACCGCCGUAAUGAUUAAUAGGGACAGUCGGGGGCAUCAGUAUUCAAUUGUCAGAGGUGAAAUUCUUGGAUUUAUUGAAGACUAACUACUGCGAAAGCAUUUGCCAAGGAUGUUUUCAUUAAUCAGGAACGAAAGUUAGGGGAUCGAAGACGAUCAGAUACCGUCGUAGUCUUAACCAUAAACUAUGCCGACUAGGGAUCGGACGAUGUUAUUUUUUGACGCGUUCGGCACCUUACGAGAAAUCAAAGUGCUUGGGCUCCGAUGCAGAGGAGUCAGGACCGGCGAACCCACCGGGAGCUUAUCCCGGGUCCGAAUAUUCCGGUGGUCGCGCGACAGGGAGCUCGUACUAUUAAUCAUGUGGGCAGAGAAAAGUGGUGUUGGAGAUUCUGAGAGCCAAUAAAGCGUAUCAAUAUUU